UCACUAGCUUCUGAAUAAACAUCAAUUUGUGGGAUCCUGUGGGGAAUGACUUCUUUUUUGUUAAACAUUUUAAAAUUAUCACGCUGAAAGAUAAUUUCCUUAAUAGCCUGAUCCUUUUCUUUCAGAUUAAUUCAAGAAUCCCAAGUCAUUUCUGCAUCAAUGAUUUUGUAUAAAUUCUAGUUUUUAACUGAAUUAAUUCUUUCACAACGAAUUUUGUAGAAACAAUUUUGACACACAUGCUUACUAAAUUUCUCACUGUUGAAUACGCUUCGGGGCAGUAUUUUCGACAGUGUCUGUUCUUUCCGCAGCUGAAGCAAGUUCCUGUUGGCUUGAAGCUAGUCGCACUGGGGUGAACAACUCGUCUGAAGUCUGAUUCAGCAUUCCGAAACUGAAUUUUAUCUGGAGCUUUGGAGAUCGUUGACGAUACAUCCGAAAAUUUUGAUUUCCUGACUGGUGGACCUCCUUCAGGUAGAGAAUGAUGCAGAGAAUGAGUCCUCACACACUUCAAUUUCCACAGCAGAAAAUAAACAAGCCAAAUAAAAUCAAAUCAACACGAACAAAAAAAAAAUAAAGCAAGUGUCUUGUAAAUAUAUGUAAAUAUUCAUAGAAGCUUUUUCUGACAAUUGUACGUAUAUAUUGGCUGGACCAAUAUAUACGUACAAAAACGUAAAAAAUUUGACCAAUCAAA